UGGGGAAUCUUGCGCAAUGGGCGAAAGCCUGACGCAGCGACGCCGCGUGAGGGAGGAAGGCCUUCGGUUGUAAACCUACUUUCAGGAGGGACGAAGCUACUCGGGUGAAUAGCCCAGAGGGUGACGGUACCUCCAGAAGAAGCCCCGGCUAACUACGUGCCAGCAGCCGCGGUAAUACGUAGGGGGCAAGCGUUGUCCGGAUUUACUGGGCGUAAAGCGCGUGUAGGCGGCCACACAGGUCCGUUGUGAAAACUGGAGGCUCAACCUCCAGACGUCGACGGAAACCGUAUGGCUAGAGUCCGGAAGAGGAGAGUGGAAUUCCUGGUGUAGCGGUGAAAUGCGCAGAUAUCAGGGAAGAACACCAAUGGCGAAGGCAGCUCUCUGGGACGGUACUGACGCUGAGACGCGAAAGCGUGGGGAGCGAACAGGAUUAGAUACCCUGGUAGUCCACGCCGUAAACGAUGGGUG
rnacentral:rRNA from 1 species